rnacentral:rRNA from 1 species
UACGGAGGGGCUAGCGUUGUUCGGAAUUACUGGGCGUAAAGCGCACGUAGGCGGCUUUGCAAGUUAGAGGUGAAAGCCCGGGCUCAACUCCGGAAUUGCCUUUAAAACUGCAUCGCUAGAAUUGUGGAGAGGUAAGUGGAAUUCCGAGUGUAGAGGUGAAAUUCGUAGAUAUUCGGAAGAACACCAGUGCGAAGGCGACUUACUGGACACAUAUUGACGCUGAGGUGCGAAAGCGUGGGGAGCAACAG